GUCCACAUCACGUCGAAGCACUGGUUUCUAUACGAUCACCGCCGUUAAGCAAUGUCGAGCCUGAUCAGUACCUAGAUGGGUGACCACUUGGGAAAACCA